UGGGGAAUAUUGCACAAUGGGCGAAGGCCUGAUGCAGCAACGCCGCGUGAGUGAUGAAGGUCUUCGGAUUGUAAGCUCUGUCUUUUGGGACGAUAAUGACGGUACCAAAGGAGGAAGCCACGGCUAACUACGUGCCAGCAGCCGCGGUAAUACGUAGGUGGCGAGCGUUGUCCGGAUUUACUGGGCGUAAAGGGUGCGUAGGCGGAUGUUUAAGUGAGAUGUGAAAUACCCGGGCUUAACUUGGGUGCUGCAUUUCAAACUGGAUAUCUAGAGUGCAGGAGAGGAGAAUGGAAUUCCUAGUGUAGCGGUGAAAUGCGUAGAGAUUAGGAAGAACACCAGUGGCGAAGGCGAUUCUCUGGACUGUAACUGACGCUGAGGCACGAAAGCGUGGGUAGCAAACAGGAUUAGAUACCCUGGUAGUCCACGCCGUAAACGAUGAGUACUAGGUGUAGGAGGUAUCGACCCCUUCUGUGCCGCAGUAAACACAUU
rnacentral:rRNA from 1 species